GGGGGGGGGAUUCUUAAGGACGAGCCUGGUGGAUAUCGCUGGAUUUUAUGAUGCACUUCUUGUCCAUUUGGAGUUCAUCCUUCAGAUUUGGAGCGCUUUGAGGACUGUGUUUUCGUCAUGUCAAAAGGCAGCUGCGUUUUAGAGGGGGAUUGAGCCUGACCCCUGGACGCUGGCUGACGCCUACCUGGAGUGCUUCACCCGCCUUUGUGGCGCAGUCGAGGGGGAGCAAAGCGUCAUGCCAACUCUGCCCAAUCUCAACAGCCUCGGGAGGCUAUGCAGCUCCAGCCGCAGCCACAACAUAGACCACGUGCGGGUGAAACGCAAGAGCUCCAUCAAACGCAUGUCCAUCAUUGAGGAUGGACACGUGGCCGAGGUCCUGUACCUCAUUCCGAAACAGUACAUGGAGCAGCUGCCCUACCUCAACCCAAACGACUAUUACCUGAGUGAAAGGCUACAUGAUGUUGCUUCAGUGGCUCAUGCGCAGGAUACGCAACACCACUCCACGGAGAAGCCCCUGAUCCAGUGCUAUAAGUGCAGGCAGCCAUGCAAGGGCGAGGUGCUGCGGGUUCAAAACAAACACUUUCAUCUAAAGUGCUUCACCUGUAAAGCGUGCGGAUGUGACCUGGCCCAGGGCGGCUUCUUCAUGAAGAAUGGAGAUUAUCUGUGCACAGUGGACUACCAACGCAUGCACGGUACCCGCUGCACUGGAUGUGGGGACUUUGUGGAGGGGGAAGUGGUCACUGCACUGGGCAAGACCUAUCAUCCUGCCUGCUUUGUUUGCACCGUUUGCAAACGGCCAUUCCCAGCCGGAGACAGGGUGACCUUCAACGGGAAGGACUGUCUGUGUCAGUACUGUGUUGAGCCAAUGUCUCCAGGACCAAAAGACAUCUUAGGUGCCAGCAAUUGUGCAGGAUGCGGUCGAGAUAUUAAGAAUGGACAGGCUCUCCUAGCAUUAGACAAACAGUGGCAUCUCGGCUGCUUCAAGUGCAAGGCCUGCGGUAAAGUGCUAACCGGAGAGUACAUCAGCAAGGAUGGUGCACCGUACUGUGAGAAGGACUACCAGAUUCAUUUUGGAGUCCAGUGUGAAGCGUGUCAUCAAUUCAUCACAGGCAAAGUACUUGAGGCUGGAGAUAAACAUUACCACCCCAGCUGUGCGAGAUGCAGCAGGUGCAAUCAGAUGUUUACGGAAGGAGAGGAGAUGUACCUACAAGGAUCAACAGUGUGGCAUCCCGGCUGCAAGAACACGACUAGAACAGAGGAGAGACACAGGGAGAGGCUACUGCCUCCGUCCCUCUUAUUUCUUCAAAAAACAGAAAGGCAGCCAACGAGAUCGUCAUCUGAGAGUAUUUGUUCCAGACCUGGUUCAAGCAUACCUGGCUCACCGGGUCACACGAUCUAUGCAAAAGUAGACAAUGAGAUUCUUGAUUACAGAGACCUAGCUGCCAUUCCAAAAGUCAAAGCCAUUUAUGACAUUGAGCGCCCUGACCUUAUUACCUAUGAACCUAUGUACACCACCUCCUUGGAGGAGAGAGAGGAGAGAAGAGAAAGUGUAGGAGAGCUUCUUCAUGCCAGGAAGGAGCGUUCACCCUUGCCUGAUGAAAAGUCUUUUAGAACCAUGUCUCCAACUCUAUCCAAUGAGGGAUGUUAUGACAAAAGAGAACGCAUUCUCCAGAGGUCCACCAGUCAGGGCUCCUUAGGCUCGCCAGUUUAUAAUCGCCAUGGCUACACCCCCACUCUGUCACGGUCCCCGCAGCAUUUUCACAGGCCAGCUCUGACAGGCAUGCAGAAACUCUGCUCCUCCUUGUGCAGUAACAGUGUGGGCUCCAGAAAUAGUGACUCCCGGCCCACCUCUCCUUUUAGACACCACUUCCUCCCCCAUAGUCAAGGCACUGACUCACCAAGCGGCCGGAGCUCCCCUCUCCCGCUUAGGCCCGACAGCCGGCCGGGCACCCCGCCGCUCUGUCUGACCCCUAAACAUUUUCACCUCCCAGAUCAAGGCAGUAACAUCUACAGAAAACCACCCAUCUACAAACAAUACGCUGCCAUAGCACGUCAAAGCAAGUCGGCUGAUGACAUCAUCAGAUCUGCCACCUUCCCUGCUGCCCAUGCUCCCUCUCCUGAUGACAGCUUACAGAGCGAGGGCGAUUGUUGGCCCUCCCCUAACGUUCUAUUAGGUACAGAGGGAAGAAGACGAUCCAGAGAAGAGGAGGAGGAAGAUGCCUUGAAAAGGAAGCAGCUUCAGGAAGAACAUCUCAACAAGAUCCAGUCAGGUUUGGGAAAGCUAAUUCUCAGGGAGGAGAUGGAAAAAGAGCAGAUUAGGGAACGCUACACAAGGAGUGUCUCCGCUCAGCGCUAUGACACCAAGCAGGAUAAUGGAGAUGCAGAUCCAACUUCUCCAGCGAGAACAAACUCUUUGCCUGGAUAUGGGAGGACUGAUCUUCACCGGCCCCAGUCAACAGAUUUCACACAAUACAACAGCUAUGGCGACAUGUAUGGCGGAGGCAGAGACUUUCAGGUAUGUCCCCCAUCUGCUUUUUCACAUGGCAUGCUUUCUCAUCUCGCACCACCGAUUUGCCUGCAGUAGGCAUCUUGCCCUGAAUGCACACUAUCCACUUGUGCUACAUGCUUGCAUUGUCGUCGAACAUUUUCCUGUAUCUCAUCUAGACGUCACCUACAGGGCAUGCAGUCAAUUGAAAUGCACUGCCCAGUAGCUGAGUAACUGUACUCUACGUGCAAGGUGCAAUCACCACAAUGUUUUGUUUGUCUGUCUACCGAUGUCAUGCCCCGAGCUAAAUGUUAGAGAUUAGGAAUCUGGGUUUUUUUGUUUUGUUUUUGUUCAAAAUUCACCCCAGGGACGCAUAAACCGACAUUUGAACAGCAACUGAACAUCAUGAAUUAUAGGAACCUGCGCGCUAGUCAAGCUCCUUGCUCCAUCCAGUGAAAAGUGUGCCCACUGUCAUAAAACGACAACAUACUCAUGCCAUUAACCCUUCAGUCCCGUCCCACUAUAUUAUAUUUGUGUAUGUUCUAUUCUUUAGCACAUUAAGGAUGGCCGUGCAGCACUUGCAAGGAUGGACAGGGGAGUAUCUAUGCCUAAUAUGUUGGAACCCAAAGCAAGUAUCUUCUUCUUUUUGUACUGAUGGCAACAAUGUGAACUACACUGUAUGGACAAAAGUAUUGAGACACACCACCUCGUCGGUUGCCCAAUCAAUCAGGCGUUGGACUUGACCACUGAAUAUGCUCUUGAACCUUAAUAUUGGUCCUCAUAUGUCUUGGAAUUAUUGUGUAAAACAUUGGAAUUGACCUGAAAUGAAAAAAAAUAAUAAUUAACUAAAAACCUGUGUGGCACCAUGGUGUACAGUGCAUUGUAAUAUGAAUCGGAAUGCUGUGUUUCAACUAGUGAAGGCGCAUAGAACAUAUUGAAAAGAAAAUGUUUGGGCUGACUUCCUCUUUAAGUAACACUCUUAGCCGUCUUAUAGAUUACCGUAUAAUAAACAAGAUUAACAUAGGGCGGCACUGUCACGUCAAGAAUUUCUGUGGUCGAAUCUCAAGAAUUUAGUCCCCCAAAAAUGUUGGGUUUAUUAAUGAUGUUAACGUGCUCAUUUGGGUGAAUGUGUGUGUCAAUGUUGUCAAUAGCAGGGGCCCUUGGAGACACAGUCUGGGUGUGUAUGGCCUGUAUCAAGUAUUCCAAAAAGGAGUUUAAGUAUUCCAAAAAGUACAACUAAUCCACUCUUUUCAAUCUUAAUAAUUAAUAACAGUUCAGAACAAUAACGUUUUUUUCAAAUAGUGAACAAGAUUGGUAUCUCACUCCUCGCUCCCAUCUCCCUAGUACCGUGCAUACUCCUCAGCAUGUCUGCUUGAGUAAAAGGCAUCAAAUUCUUUUAACGCCACAAAUUUCUCUUUGCUUUCAAGACAUGUCAAGGUGCCCAUGUUUUCAACAACAAAAAAACUGUCUUUGGCUGUUCGCAUCACUAACCUUUCUCUUCAUUGCAGGUUUUGAAAAAGACAUGACGGGUUGUAGGCGACAACCUCCUUGCACUUAGUGUCACUUCAGAAUUAUGUAUAAAAUAUCAUCCCACGGGCCGCAAAUUGCCCCAAGGCCAUGAGUUUCAGAUGUCCGGUUUCUAGGCUGUUGUUUACUCAUAGCCGUCAAUAAAAUAAGACAGAAACGAAAUGGAUGAAAUAAAACAAGUCAUCAUUUGAUAACGUCAGAUCGAGAGCGAAGCAAAACCAACUCCAACUUAUCAUAUUUACAUGCAGAAUAUCAACCCGCAACGCAUUUUAUUCUGGAAAAUGGCAAUCUUGGAAAAAAUUGAUAAAUUAGUACAAUAAAAACCUGACUUAACCAAAGCGUUCAUUUCAGGUCAUGCAAUGCAUAUCUUUCCAAUGUUUUUGCUGUUAAAAAUGGAAGACCAUCCCAUAAACUUUUCUGCCAACUAUUUGAGGAAGGCGCCUUUCCAUUCCAGUAGCACUGCACAAAACAAGGUCCAUAAAUAAAUACUGUACUGGUACAUGGAUUUGUUUGGGGUACAGAACCCUGUCAAACACACUCAGGAUGAACUAGAGCAGAAAUGAUGUAAUAACCCGGCCCCCAUCUCGCUCACAAAUGUUCUUCUGGAUGAAUGGACAAAAAUACCCCCAUACCCUCCAAAAUGUUAUGCAGCUUAAACGACCACGGGUCCCAAUACUUAUGUUCAUAUAUUGUAUGUUAACAAAUGUACAGUGAGCUUACACGAACACUAGCUAAACACAAAAGUUUCAGCUAUCUUAUACACAAAUUAUUUUAACAUAAUGUAAGGAGGUUUGUUAAUCGACAGAAGCAUAGAAUGGAAGUCAUUUACUGUUUGCUCCCUGCAGUGCAGAGACAUUUUAUUUAACACCUUAAUUCGAGAAAUUGCAGAUUUAGCAUGCUGCUUCAAGAGCUGCAGUCACGUUAACGCUUAGCAUGCCGGCUUCUUCAUGUUCAUCUGCACAUGGCUUUGAUUUCUGGGGUCUUGUAUGUGCCAUACAGUGAAGAACCAGUGCUUAAAAUUCCAUCUAAAGGAUUCUAUACCACUAUGUAGAGUACUGUAGAGUGCAUACAAAGGGUGUCAGAAAAGUUGCAAAACUGGUGUGACAAAAAUUAUAUUUCAAAUGUUAACUACAAGUUUUCCCUUUAAGUCUUAAAGUGCUUCCCUGGCCUCUCUGUGAUGCCUUCAUGGAGGGAUAUUUUUGGCCCUCCUCCGUAUCAUUCUGCUGGCCAUGUUGAGCUCACUCAUGUCUUCAAAACGGGACCCCUUGGUAAUUCCCUUGAGCUUGGGCAAAAGGAAAAAAAGUCACACACAGCCAUGUUUGGUAAGUAGGGAGGUUGCUCCGUGAGCACAGCGAUACUCUCCUGAGUCGGGAACUGUCAGGUGCUCAGGGCAUUGUGAGCAGGUGUGUUGACAUGGUGAAGCCCCACCAUAAGUCUCGCCUCUUCUUAUGCACUGAAUGAAGCAAGCGCAGCAGAAUCUCUGUGCUGGUAGAUCGUUGAUGCCUCUCACACAGAAGAAUGCGAUCAACAUGAUUUUGGACUUGGAUUUAAUUGUUUUCUUCAGACUUUUCCACCGAAGUCUCUGGCAUUUGGUCAUACUCGGAAGAAUUAUCACCGGUGUUGAUGCUCCCUAGCAAGUCUGGUCUCGUUACUCUCAUUACUCACUCUGGCAGUUCCUUGAUGGCCCGACAUGGGAGAUAUUUAUAUCAAAGCAUGUACACAAACCUUGAAGAGCUCCAGAGAGCUGAGCUCACAGUUAAGUAUUUUAAGGCAAUUGCAGUGAAGGGCAAGAAGUGUACUUUGUGAAAUGCAGUCCUGAAACUUUUCUGACACACCUCGUAAGGGAGCAUUCCACCACUGUGUGGGUAUGAGUAGGUCAGAGAAUAAGGAGAAAUUCAAGCACGUUGUUUAUCAAUCACAUCACCACAAUUUUCAGUUGCUGCUUUCUUCUCGCACACAUGGAAUUAGUUAUUCAGGUUAUCGUUUACUUUUCCAGUGUGUUCAUUCCCAUGAGGUUUACUUGGCCAGCGUGAAUGAUGUUAGUCUGACGUUUUGUUUUUUUAGUUUAUUCUGAUUUGUCCUCAAAAUACCGCCCUUACAAAACAGUGUCAACCCUUUCUUUCUCGAUAUUUUGCACGUGAGAUUAUGCACACCAUGGCACCCAACCAGCAUUUCCCCAAAAAACUAAAGGACCACUUUCACUGUCAGUCAUCCUCCUGCCACAUACCUGCUCUCUUUCCACUUCUUCCCUCUGUCACAAUUACAAGUACAUUCACAUACAAUUAUUGUAAUUUCGUCAGAUAAAGUUGCUUAUAGUUAAAACAACUUGGGUGUGUGACCCAAUGCACUGAUGCAUGUCUCCCUUUGAAGGUGUAUCCCUAUGAAAUGCUCGUGAUAACCAGUAGAGGGAGAGCUAAACUGCCCAGGGAUGUGGACAGAACCAGACUGGAGCGCCACUUAGCACCUGAAACGUUCUUUGACAUCUUUGGAAUGGAGAUCCAGGAGUUUGACAGGCUUCCCCUGUGGAAACGCAACGACAUGAAAAAGAAGGCCAAGCUUUUCUAGCGCUCGCAGCAGCAUGCGUCCACACACGUGCACAUUCAAACAAACCAUUCAUGAAAACAAUCAUCUGGGCUAGGCUUCGUUUUGUUUCCUUAAUUUCUUCUUGAUUUUUUUUUUUCUACCUUCUGACAUGAACUAUUUUGCUCGGACACUUCCUGAGACUCUGAGGUGAAUGGUGCAACUCAUUACAUUUGCACAGGGAACUCAUAAUCAAGAAUCAUUUCAUGUUAAAAAAUGACAAAGAAUGAAUGAUAAAUAGGAUGAUGACAUGUGUUGUGAUGGCGCUUGUUUUUUUUUCCUUGCUUUGCUUUCUUCCUUUUUAUGCUCGUUGCUUUCUGCUAUUUGUUGCUGUUGACCCCUGUUGAACUUUGUAAGUGCGGUAGAACUUUAUGACGCCACAGAAUGUCCACUCGCGUAGCCUGAAUAUACAUCUGCUUUCCUUUGCUGGGACCAAAAAAUAUUUGGUCCAAAGGUUGCAUCAGUUGGUUCAGUGAGUCUUUGAAUAAUAGUAAUAAUUAAAAAGAGAGAAAAAAAGAACACUGCGAAAGCAGUCAAGUGACCAGCCGAAACGGUUUUCCUGCCUCACAAUGAUAAUGAACGAUCCAAGCAUCUACACUCAGCCUUCAUAUCUGCCCUCCUGGACAGGCCAGCUUUCAUUAGAUCCUUAAAAAAAUAGAAAAUGACACUCCUCUCAGGCUUUCUGAAACAUGGCCGGGCAUUUACCCCUCACCUUUAUUGAAAAUACACAUCUUAAUAUAUUUUAUUGCCAUACCCAAUAUAAAGUAAGAGAUCAGUAGAUAAUAUAGCUAAUGUAAGCAAGCCUGUUUGACAGUAUUGUUUUAUACAGUGAUUGAAAAUACACGGUUGUUGUUUUGAAAACGAAGCCAAUAAAGCUUUAAAUCACCAUGAACAACACUA